UACGUAGGGGGCAAGCGUUGUCCGGAAUCAUUGGGCGUAAAGCGCGUGUAGGCGGUUCGGUAAGUCCGCUGUGAAAGUCGGGGGCUCAACCCUCGGAUGCCGGUGGAUACUGUCGGGCUUGAGUACGGAAGAGGCGAGUGGAAUUCCUGGUGUAGCGGUGAAAUGCGCAGAUAUCAGGAGGAACACCAAUGGCGAAGGCAGCUCGCUGGGACGGUACUGACGCUGAGACGCGAAAGCGUGGGGAGCGAUCCGG
rnacentral:rRNA from 1 species